rnacentral:rRNA from 1 species
UACGUAGGGCGCAAGCGUUGUCCGGAAUUAUUGGGCGUAAAGAGCUCGUAGGCGGCUUGUCACGUCUGCUGUGAAAUCCCGGGGCUCAACCCCGGGCGUGCAGUGGAUACGGGCUGGCUAGAGGCAGGCAGGGGAGAACGGAAUUCCCGGUGUAGCGGUGAAAUGCGCAGAUAUCGGGAGGAACACCCGUGGCGAAGGCGGCUCUCUGGGACGGUACUGACGCUGAGACGCGAAAGCGUGGGGAGCGAACAGG